rnacentral:rRNA from 1 species
AGUGAACGCUGGCGGUAGGCCUAACACAUGCAAGUCGAACGGCAGCACAGUAAGAGCUUGCUCUUACGGGUGGCGAGUGGCGGACGGGUGAGGAAUACAUCGGAAUCUACUUUUUCGUGGGGGAUAACGUAGGGAAACUUACGCUAAUACCGCAUACGACCUACGGGUGAAAGCAGGGGAUCUUCGGACCUUGCGCGAUUGAAUGAGCCGAUGUCGGAUUAGCUAGUUGGCGGGGUAAAGGCCCACCAAGGCGACGAUCCGUAGCUGGUCUGAGAGGAUGAAUAGCCAAACUGGAACUGAGACACGGUCCAGACUCCUACGGGAAGCCGCAGUGGGGAAUAUUGGACAAUGGGCGCAAGCCUGAUCCAGCCAUACCGCGUGGGUGAAGAAGGCCUUCGGGUUGUAAAGCCCUUUUGUUGGGAAAGAAAAGCAGCAGGUUAAUACCCCGCUGUUCUGACGGUACCCAAAGAAUAAGCACCGGCUAACUUCGUG